AUGGCCGGAAGCCGUCGCCGCCGCCGCCGCCGCGCUAGAGCGCUGCUGCCGCAGCAGGGCACCGAACCCUCGCCACCGGAAGACGCCGCUCUGAGCUCCAGAGAAGUUACUACUGUGGAGAGUCCCUGCCAUGCCUCAGCCUCUACCUUUUUGCCUAUGCCUGGACCUCAUGUUUGUGCAGAUCUCCUGGACAGCCUGCUUCAUGAAAUUAUUGCUCUCUUUAACUCAUUCCAAGACUUCCUUGCUUUCAUUGGCACCUGCCACUCAUGGCGCACUGCAGUCUCUACCUUUCCCUCUGUGUAUACAUUCAGCUUCCCGCCACUCCAUUUCAAACCAGAUGGUCCAUAUAUUCAUCCACAUAGUGGCGAUAUCAAGCCCAUCCUUUUAUCUAAUUGCAAAUGGCAGCUCAGUGAUCCUACCAAGAAAAACUUAUCCCUUGUGUGUUCAGUGCCUGAAAAUAGUCCAAAUGCAAUGCACUAUUUGGGCUGCUCAUAUGGGUAUCUUAUCUUCUCCUACGAGGAGCACUGCCUCCUUGUGGAUGUGUACACUGGUACCAAGGUGAAGCCCCCCAAACUCCCACCCAACAACAAUCUUGGAUACUUUUGUGGCAUAGGCAUCCUUACGGCUCCAUUAAUUUCAGCCAACUCUCGCCUCCUCCUUUUCUCGAAGAUUUCCAUGUUCGAGUGGCAGGUUGGAGCAAACUCCUGGUCAGAGCACGCUCUUGAUCUUGGCCGCGAACGCAUCUAUCAGAUUGUGUUCUUCAAAGGUGAUAUCUUUGCCAUCGAUGCUCUUAUGAGGCUCCACACUAUACACUUGACACCUCGAUUCAGCAUGCGAGAAGUACCAAUUCAAUGGGAAUUCCUGCCUAUUAACUCAUGGUUGGUGGUCUGUGGUGACAUGCUCCUCAUGAUUGCCCAGAGGUCAAACUCUGGCGGAUUGGGCUCAUCUUUUAAGGUCUUUCGACUCGACUUCACUGUUGAACCAGCCAAGUGGGUGAAGGUGGAGAAGUUGGAAAAUAUUGCCCUGUUUGUUAGCCUUGACAGGAGGGAUCCUACAUUUUCUUGCAUGAGCCCAGAAAGAUGGGGAGGAAAGAGUAACUGCAUUUAUUUUGCAAGGCUAUCUGAAGAUCCUGAUGAAACUUGGACUUCCGCUGAGCUUGGUCAGCUAGUGCCAGAAAACGCAAUUCACCCCAUGUUCUAUGGUAUGUCAUUCCCUCCCGACUGCGGUUUACUGAGUAACCAAUGGGUGUUCCCCAGUUUAAUUUAUGGUUCUGGCUAG
rnacentral:rRNA from 1 species